rnacentral:rRNA from 1 species
AGGAUGAACGCUGGCGGCGUGCCUAACACAUGCAAGUCGAACGUCCUGUCUCGCAAGAGGCAGGGAGUGGCGGACGGGUGAGUACCACGUGGGUCAUCUACCGUGAGGUGAGGAAUACCGGCGAGAAAUCGCCGACAAGACCGCAUAGCCUCGGUGCAAGCCGAGGAAAGCUCUCUCGAGAGAGGGAGCGCCACACGAGGAGCCUGCGCCCGAUUAGCUAGCUGGUGGAGUAACGGUUCACCAGGGCGACGAUCGGUAGCUGGUCUGAGAGGACGAUCAGCCACACUGGGAUUGAGAACGGCCCAGACUCCUACGGGGGGCAGCAGUGAGGAAUUUUCGUCAAUGGGGGCAACCCUGAACGAGCAACGCCGCGUGCAGGAAGAAGGUUUUCGGAUCGUAAACUGCUUUUCUCGGGGAAGAGAACGGACGGUACCCGAGGAAUCAGCCCGGCUAACUACGCGCCAGCAGCCGCGGU